GACGGAGGGGGCAAGCGUUGUCCGGACUCACUGGGCGUAAAGGGCGCGUAGGCGGUCGGGUAAGUCUGGUGUGAAAUCUUCGAGCUUAACUCGGGAACUGCAUUGGAUACUAUUCGGCUAGAGAGUUGGAGGGGGGAUUGGAAUACUUGGUGUAGCAGUGAAAUGCGUAGAUAUCAAGUGGAACACCAGUGGCGAAGGCGAAUCCCUGGACAACUUCUGACGCUGAGGCACGAAAGCUAGGGGAGCAAACAGG
rnacentral:rRNA from 1 species